AGAGGUGUAGAUCAACAAGCAGGGGAACAGCGAAUCGGAGAGGUGGUUUCUGGCUGGAAAAGAAUAUUCUGGAAGUCUGGACAGGAAGCCUCCCAGGACCAGGGUAGCAGGAGAGAAAAAGCCCAGAGCAAGUCCUGCAGCUGGAGUGUGUGUUGAUGGGGGCAGGAAGGUCAUGUAGGAGAGGAGGGAGGCAGGCUUGGGGAGGAUGGUCAGAGAAGGGCUUACCUCAACCACCAACUCUCCUGGCAAAUAGGUUUCACAGAUGCUCAGGAUGAACAGAGGGAACGAGGAAAAGAAAGGUCACUGGGUUCUAAGGCCUUCACCAUCUGCAGAACACCUGCCUGAGGGUUAGCCUUCUUCCUGUGAUUGCCUGGAGCAAUGGUCCCCAAGCUGUAAGGGAGGAUGUGUAAAUAAUCCACGGUGUAUUUUAACCUCCAAAAUUGCCUGCAGGCCUGUGAGUUGAGUGGGGAGAAGACACUUUCCUCAUUUUACUGAUGAGAAAACAGAGACUCCCAGAGCAAAGUGACUGACCACAGAAUCAGCCUGUACAGAAGCUGGCACAGAGAGGCAAGAUAAGCCCUGGAUGGAGCUCUUUCCCCCUCACGUCAGGCUUCUGGAUUCAACUGGUACACCAGACACCAAGUCUUAGCAUCCUGGAACACCAAGAACCCUGAGAGAUCAACGCAGGCCUGCCGGAUACCCAAGGGAGAGGAGUUGCAUUCCAGCCAGUCACCUUGGCCCAGGGGAGCCACACGUCUCAGCGAGGGGAGAGCGAGGCCCACAGGUUUGCUCUGGGACCUCCAGGAGUCUGAAUCGCAUCCUUGUGUGGUCAGCCCUCCUUCCCCCAGCCCCCGCUCCUUGCAGGAUCACUGCACGGUUAAGAGCUCACCCUUCCAGCCAGGCUGCCUGGGCUGAAUCUCAAUUCUUCCACUUCCUGGGUGUGUCUGUUUCCCCAUGUGUAACACAGAGAUGUGACAGCUCUGACCUGUAACGUGCUCAGAGCAGGGCCUGCCACACAGUAAAUGCUCCAUCAGAGUUGGCUGCUAUU